ACAGAGGUGCCAAGCGUUAGGCGGAAUCACUGGGCUUAAAGCGUGUGUAGGCGGAUCGUUAAGUACCUUGUGAAAUCCCACGGCUCAACCGUGGAACGGCUGGGUAUACUGGCGGUCUUGAGCCACCUAGGGGCGAGCGGAACAAACGGUGGAGCGGUGAAAUGCGUAGAUAUCGUUUGGAACGCCAACGGUGAAAACAGCUCGCUGGGGGUGUGCUGACGCUGAGACACGAAAGCCAGGGGAGCGAACGGGA
rnacentral:rRNA from 1 species